CGGGUGAGUAACACGUGGAUAACCUACCUAUAAGACUGGGAUAACUUCGGGAAACCGGAGCUAAUACCGGAUAAUAUUUUGAACAGCAUGGUUCAAAAGUGAAAGACGGUCUUGCUGUCACUUAUAGAUGGAUCCGCGCUGCAUUAGCUAGUUGGUAAGGUAACGGCUUACCAAGGCAACGAUGCAUAGCCGACCUGAGAGGGUGAUCGGCCACACUGGAACUGAGACACGGUCCAG
rnacentral:rRNA from 1 species